rnacentral:rRNA from 1 species
CCGCGUGAGCGAUGAAGGCCUUCGGGUCGUAAAGCUCUGUUGUUAGGGAAGAACAAGUGCCGAGUAACUAUCGGCACCUUGACGGUACCUAACCAGAAAGCCACGGCUAACUACGUGCCAGCAGCCGCGGUAA